GCAGCAGUUCAGAUGGUCGCUGGUCCGCGUGCGGGCUGGAGGAAAGUCCGAGCUCCACAGGGCAGGAUGGUCGCUAACAGCGACUGGGGGUGACCCUAAGGAAAGUGCCACAGAAAAUAUACCGCCCUUCCGGUUCUUCGGAAGUCCCUACGGGGAGGCAGGGUUCAUCCUGCAGGUAAGGGUGAAAAGGUGAGGUAAGAGCUCACCAGUUUCCCGGGUGACCGGGAAAGCUUGGUAAACCCCAUCCGGAGCAAGACCGAAUAGGAAAGCGCCAAGGAUUGCCCGUCCGUGCUUUCGGGUAGGUUGCUCGAGACGACAGGCAACUGUCGUUCCAGAUGAAUGAUCAUCGCCCCUUUCCGGGUAACCGGGGCGGGGAACAGAACUCGGCUUAUGAACCGCUGCAACC
rnacentral:RNase_P_RNA from 1 species